UGGUUCUAACUCGCAGAGAGAGUUAGAUAAUGUUAACAUAUCCGCAGCAACAGACAUUUCAGGGACCAUUCCUGAUUAUAUCACGACCGCAGAAUGUACAGUUCGUAUUCCGGAAGUCAUAUCUCCUAGCUUUUCAAGAAGGUCCAAUCUGACAUUAGAAACCAAGACGGCAAGGAAAAGACUUAUAAAAAGUGUACAACAAUUAACCCCCAGAUGCAAGAAAAUGUACCAAAAAUGCUCGACUAUACUGAAAUCCCGUCGCCGUAUAGUUCAGUCAUACCAGGAGCGAAUAGAAAAAGCUGAAAAACUCAAUCAGAAUAAAUCUUUUUCUGAGCUUGUAGAGAAACUGACUCCUCAAGCCAAGACAUUCCUUAAAAUGCAGGUCACGCUCGCCAAUAGACAUAUAAAAAGACGGAGGUUCACAACUGAACAGAAACUCUUGGCUCUAUCACUCCAAAAGCAAAGUCCGAAAGGAUAUAAAUUGCUGCACAAGAUAUUUAUCUUGCCUAGCAGGCGCACUCUAAGAAAAUUUACUCAUCAUAUUUCUCUUGCGCCGGGAAUAAAUGAAAACAUAUUUACACAACUAAAGGAGUCAGUUCGGAAUUGGGAUGACAAAAAAAGUGCUGUUCCAUUGUAUUUUAUGAAGUGGCGUUGACACCUCAUUUGACAUUCUUAGAAUCUCAAGAUCGCAUUGACGGUUUUGUGAAUUUUGGCGCCGAAGUGGAAAGGAAACUAUGCGAUCAUGCCCUUGUUUUUAUGGUUCGAGGUAUAUGCACUUCAUGGAGACAGCCCAUAGCUUAUUAUUUAUGUGAAGGAACAACUCCAACUAUUAAGUUGAAAAACAUUUUAAAGGUAGUUACUUAUUUAUUUUGAAGU